AAAGAAACUAACCASGAUUCCCCUAGUAACGGCGAGUGAAGCGGGAAAAGCUCAAAUUUGUAAUCUGGCGCCUUUGGCGUCCGAGUUGUAAUCUCGAGAAGUAUUUUCCGCGCUGGACCGCACAUAAGUCUGUUGGAAUACAGCGUCAUAGUGGUGAGAACCCCGUAUAGGGUGCGGAUGCCCAGUGCUUUGUGAUCUACUUUCGAAGAGUCGAGUUGUUUGGGAAUGCAGCUCAAAUUGGGUGGUAAAUUCCAUCUAAAGCUAAAUAUUGGCGAGAGACCGAUAGCGAACAAGUACCGUGAGGGAAAGAUGAAAAGCACUUUGGAAAGAGAGUUAACAGUACGUGAAAUUGUUGGAAGGGAAACGCUUGAAGUCAGACUUGCAUUUUGGAGUUCAGCCGCAAGGUGUAUUCUUCAAUUCGCAGGCCAGCAUCAGUUUUUGGGGGUGGAAAAGCGUGGUUUGAAGGUAGCAGCUUCGGCUGCGUUAUAGCUUUCCACUGGAUUCACUUUUGGGGACUGAGGAACGCAGUACGCUUUUUGCAAGAUCUUCGGAUCUUUCGUACUUAGGAUGCUGGUGGAAUGGCUUUAAACGACCCGUCUUGAAACACGGACCAAGGAGUCUAACAUGUUUGCGAGUGUUUGGGUGUUAAACCCGGACGCGUAAUGAAAGUGAAUGGAGGUGGGAUCCGCAAGGUGCACCAUCGACCGAUCUGGAUUUUCUAAGAUGGAUUUGAGUAAGAGCAAUUAUGUUGGGACCCGAAAGAUGGUGAACUAUGCCUGAAUAGGGUGAAGCCAGAGGAAACUCUGGUGGAGGCUCGUAGCGGUUCUGACGUGCAAAUCGAUCGUCAAAUUUGGGUAUAGGGGCGAAAGACUAAUCGACCAUCUAGUACCUUUGAGAUACUGCCAAGUAGCACUGAGUUAAUAUUGACGG
rnacentral:rRNA from 1 species